UACGUGCCAGCAGCCGCGGUAAGACGUAGGACGCAAGCGUUAUCCGGAUUUACUGGGCGUAAAGCGCCUGUAGGCGGUCAAGUAAGUCGGAUGUGAAAGCCCCGUGCUCAACGCGGGGAAGCCAUUCGAUACUGCGUGACUAGAGAACGGCAGAGGGAAACGGAAUUUCUGGUGUAGCGGUAAAAUGCGCAGAGAUCAGAAAGAACACCGAUGGCGAAGGCAGUUUCCUAGGCCGCAUCUGACGCUGAGAGGCGAAAGCUAGGGGAGCAAACAGGAUUAGAGACCCUGGUAGUCCUAGCUGUAAACGAUGGAUGCUAGGUGUGGGCCGGAAAGGCCCGUGCCGUAGUUAACGCGAUAAGCAUCCCGCCUGGGGAGUACGGCCGCAAGGCUAAAACUCAAACGAAUUGACGGGGACCCGCACAAGCAGCGGAGCGUGUGGUUUAAUUCGAUGCUACACGCAGAACCUUACCUGGGCUUGACAUGUAGGUGGUAGUGAAGUGAAAGCGGAGCGACCCUUCGGGGAGCCUACACAGGUGCUGCAUGGCUGUCGUCAGCUCGUGCCGUGAGGUGUCGGGUUAAGUCCCGUAACGAGCGCAACCCUUGUCCUUAGUUACAAGUGUCUAAGGAGACUGCCGGUGACAAACCGGAGGAAGGUGGGGAUGACGUCAAGUCAGCAUGGCCCCUAUGUCCAGGGCGACACACACGCUACAAUGGUCGGUACAAUGGGCAGCGCAGCCGCGAGGUGAAGCGAAUCCCAACAAAGCCGAUCCCAGUUCGGAUUGCAGGCUGCAACCCGCCUGCAGAAGCCGGAGUU
rnacentral:rRNA from 1 species